ensembl:lncRNA
GUCCUGCAUGAGACAGAGUGAGAGUGCUGAGAGGUUUGUCUGCAUGUUGGUUCAUGGGUCUGAACUAUUUUCACACUCUUCAGGGCCUGCUGAACAUCUGUUGACUCCAGGUGAUGAGGAUUAAGUGAAAACUGAUAAACCUGUGGAAGACAGGAGCCACUUUGUCUUGAUUUUCUUCUCUGUUUGGCUGUUGAUGUCAUUGAGUUGUCCUCACAGCUGCCAUUUUAGGUACAGAUUCUUUUAGCACCAGCUUCUGUACAACAACUCCCCCCACACACAAACACGUAGCCUACAUAUUUGCAAGACGGGUCUUUAAAUAGCUUGUGAGGGGGAUGUGAGGAGGUCGAGAGUGGGG